rnacentral:rRNA from 1 species
CAGUAGCCGCGGUAAAACGAGGGGAGCUAGCGUUGUUCGGAAUUACUGGGCGUAAAGCGCGCGUAGGCGGCUUUUUAAGUCAGAGGUGAAAGCCCGGGGCUCAACCUGGGAAUUGCAGUGGAUACUGGAUCACUAGAGUGUGGUAGAGGAUAGUGGAAUUUCCGGUGUAGCAGUGAAAUGCGUAGAGAUCGGAAGGAACAUCUGUGGCGAAGGCGACUAUCUGGGCCAACACUGACACUGAGGCACGAAAGCGUGGGGAGCAAACAGGAUUAGAGACCCCCGUAGUCCCUGUCUCUUAUAC